GACGAACGCUGGCGGCGUGCUUAACACAUGCAAGUCGAACGGAAAGGCCCUGCUUUUGUGGGGUGCUCGAGUGGCGAACGGGUGGGUAACACGUGAGUAACCUGCCCUUGACUUUGGGAUAACUUCAGGAAACUGGGGCUAAUACCGGAUAGGAGCUCCUGCUGCAUGAUGGGGGUUGGAAAGUUUCGGCGGUUGGGGAUGGACUCGCGGCUUAUCAGCUUGUUGGUGGGGUAGUGGCUUACCAAGGCUUUGACGGGUAGCCGGCCUGAGAGGGUGACCGGCCACAUUGGGACUGAGAGACGGCCCAGACUCCUACGGGAGGCAGCAGUGGGGAAUAUUGCACAAUGGGCGGAAGCCUGAUGCAGCAACGCCGCGUGCGGGAUGACGGCCUUCGGGUUGUAAACCGCUUUCGCCUGUGACGAAGCGUGAGUGACGGUAAUGGGUAAAGAAGCACCGGCUAACUACGUG
rnacentral:rRNA from 1 species